GAGUAGGCCACCUCUCUCUCCUUAUCCCUUGGGGACAGGAGUCCGCCACACUUGCAGCUGGCUUGUUGAUGACGGGUCAUGGAGCUGUCAACCUCAUCCCACUAAUUCUGCAUGACAUCUUUAGUAGGUUGAUUUGAGCUGAUAUCAAGUUAUAUUUCAGUGAUCAUUCAGCUGAAACAUUAAGCUUAAACAGCAUAUUCAGAUACAGAAGACCAUUGAGAUGUUUGAGGUGUGUGUUGAGAGAAACAACAAUAUAUGAGAAUGAAGAACACAACUGGCUGGUUUGCCAGUGGAUAAAGUUUGGAGUCGACAUCGAGGAUGCAGGUCUGCUACGACACCACAAAAGACUAUUGACUUAUUUUGAGGUCAGUAUCGACUGCUUGAUCUAUCCACACCCGACAUUGGUCAUCCUGCAACAGCUUUUUCUACCUCAAAAGACUCGAAUUCUUUCCUGGAUAACGGCAUACAAAGAAAUCUUUCUCAAAAUCUACAAGAUUUUGACCAGAUUGCUUGACAUGAAGUAAACAGGAGUAAUUUGGGUUAAGAAAUGCAGGUACUCAAUUAUUUGUCAAUCUCAAAUCAUUCUUGAAGAUGAUGCUGAUGCUUUUAGCUGAUAAAUCUUGCAAGACUUUCAUGUACUUCUUGGCCACAGUACCAUCUUCGACCAAGUCAUUGAUCUCUACAGACUUUGAUGGUGACAAAGUCUUAUCCACUCUUUCCUUUAAUCUAACUAAUCCAAGGAUGAUCUCAUCACUGGUGAGGGGAGAGAUUGUUUUCAUGAAACAAAUCCUGAUCAUCAAGAUCUUGAAUUUGAUUGUAGAAAUUAUGAAUAUAAAUAUAUAGUCAUUUAGCAUAAGGUCUUCAACUUGAUUUAGAUUUGAACUUUUCAACAUUGGAAAAGGUGGAAGAGAAAGAAAAAGGUUUACUUGUUUUGUUAUUAUGUGUUCAAAAAGCAUCCCAAAGUCAUAUUAGGAAAAAAUAUAUAAAAAGUAUUAACAUAAAUGGUAGAAAAU
rnacentral:lncRNA from 1 species